rnacentral:rRNA from 1 species
UACGGGGGGAGCAAGCGUUGUUCGGAUUUACUGGGCGUAAAGGGCGGGUAGGCGGCCACCGCAAGUCGACUGUGAAAUCUCCGGGCUUAACCCGGAAAGGUCAGCCGAUACUGCGGGGCUAGAGUGCAGAAGGGGCAACUGGAAUUCUCGGUGUAGCGGUGAAAUGCGUAGAUAUCGAGAGGAACACCUGCGGCGAAGGCGGGUUGCUGGGCUGACACUGACGCUGAGGAGCGAAAGCGUGGGGAGCGAACAGG